rnacentral:tRNA from 2 species
GGGGAUGUAGCUCAGUGGUAGAGCGCAUGCUUAGCAUGCACGAGGCCUCGGGUUCAAUCCCCGGCAUCUCCA